AAAAUUUGCUCCUUACCCUUAAUGUGUUUCAAAUAUCUACGCCCCUGAUAAAGUACUGUUAGAUAGAAAUUUUGCAUCGACAAAUAGGCUCCAAUUAAAACUCAUUUAAAGUGGUUUUUAUGUGCUAAAUUGCUGAUAUUUUUCACGAAAUUGGACAAAAGAGAUUUUGCAAAAAUGAGUGAUGAAUAUGUUUGCUUUUUGAUUGAAUCAAGUGACUCUGAAGAUGAAAAAGAAGCAAGUCGUAAUGUAGUUGCCAAAAAAGCGGUUAAGGAAGCUUCGACAGAAAAACCGACCGAGAACAAGGAAAGUGAUGAUGAAGAAGUAAUUCAACCAUGGAAGACCGGAUUUGAGUUGGGCUACACUCCUGAGAAGAUUAUUGGUCUUACUACUCAAGAUGACAAGUUACUUUUUCUGGUACAGUGGAAAGGGAAGCGCAAGGCUCAGCUCGUCGACUCGAAGAUUGUUCGUAAGGAAUGUCCAAAUCUCGUCAUAGACUAUUACGAAUCUCGCUUGAUAUGGACACAAGAUUAAUUUAUGCUUCAUCGAAAUUUUUUUCUUUUUUUUUGUUUUUUUUUACUGAAACCCACCUAUGUACAUUUUUCGAAUGGGUUAUUUGAAUUCCUAUAAUAUGUGAGUAAUCAAAAUUAAAUUGUACUAAUUUAA